rnacentral:rRNA from 1 species
GAGUUUGAUCUUGGCUCAGAGCGAACGCUGGCGGCAGGCCUAAACAUGCAAGUCGAACGAUGGCUUCGGCCAUAGUGGCGCACGGGUGAGUAACGCGUGGGAACCUGCCUUUUGGUUUGGGAUAACUCCGGGAAACUGGAGCUAAUACCGGAUGAGCCCGGGCAACCGGGAAGAUUUAUCGCCAAAGAGGGGCCCGCGUCCGAUUAGGUAGUUGGUGGGGUAACGGCCUACCAAGCCGACGAUCGGUAGCUGGUCUGAGAGGAUGAUCAGCCACACUGGGACUGAGACACGGCCCAGACUCCUACGGGAGGCAGCAGUGGGGAAUAUUGGACAAUGGGCGCAAGCCUGAUCCAGCAAUGCCGCGUGGAUGAUGAAGGCC